UACGGAGGGAGCUAGCGUUGUUCGGAAUUACUGGGCGUAAAGCGCGCGUAGGCGGUUUUUUAAGUCAGAGGUGAAAGCCCAGUGCUCAACACUGGAACUGCCUUUGAAACUGGAAAAACUUGAAUCUUGGAGAGGUCAGUGGAAUUCCGAGUGUAGAGGUGAAAUUCGUAGAUAUUCGGAAGAACACCAGUGGCGAAGGCGACUGACUGGACAAGUAUUGACGCUGAGGUGCGAAAGCGUGGGGAGCAAACAGGAUUAGAUACCCCUGUAGUC
rnacentral:rRNA from 1 species